UACGUAGGUGGCAAGCGUUGUCCGGAAUAACUGGGCGUAAAGCGCAUGUAGACGGCAUAGCAAGCCAAGUGUGAAAUUUAGGGGCUUAACCUCUAAACUGCGCUUGGAACUGCUGAGCUUGAGUGCAGGAGAGGCAAGUGGAAUUCCCAGUGUAGCAGUGAAAUGCGUAGAUAUUGGGAGGAACACCAGUGGCGGAGGCGACUUGCUGGACUGCAACUGACGUUGGGAUGCGAAAGCUAGGGGAGCAAACGGG
rnacentral:rRNA from 1 species